rnacentral:tRNA from 1 species
AGGAUAGUAGUUAACUAUAACAUUUGGUUUGCAUUCAAAAAGUAUUGAAAUACUUCAAUCUAUCUUA